GCAUUCAUUACAAAUCGUGUCCACAGCCCGCUUCCCAGCUUCCAACUUCCACCUCCAGGGGAGGACUGGGGGCUGGAGAUUGCAUUAAUUUCCAAUGGCCAGUGGUUUAAUCAAUCAUGACUAAGUAAUGAGCCUCCGUAAAAACCAGAGCUUCCGGUCUGGUGAACACACGGAGGUCCUGGAAAUGGUGGCGCGCCCAGAGGGCAUGGAAGCUCCGCGCCCCUUCCCACAGACCUUGUCCCGUGCAUCGCUUCCAUCCGGCUCUUCCUGAGUUCUGGCCCUUGUAGUAAACCUGCAGUCUUGAUCAAUUUUCUCUCAGGAGGCUCUUCAUUGACUCAUGCAAACAGAUUUCUGGCGGGAACUGCUCCAAGGCCUUCCAGAUGUGCACAGGCAUGGAUGAAUCAGAGCAGAAGUGGACAGAUGUAGCUCAAAUGGAGGGUUCUGCUAUAAUCUCAAUAAGUAUCCAGGCUGGAGUGCAGUGGCGCGAUCUCGGCUCACUGAAACCUCUGCCUCCCAGGUUCAAGCGAUUCUCCUGCCUCAGCCUCUCGAAUAGCUGGGAUUACAGGCAACUACCAUUUUUCCCCCUCUGUCUUUUGAUGUUCACCUGACAAGCUCCUGGUGGUAGCCGGUAGCUCUGACAGAGAGCAAAAGAAAUAAGGGGCGGUUUUAGCUGAUAACCUCACCAGUCUUCACUUCGGCUCUUCCUUCGCUGCCCCUUCAGCUGCGGGGAACUUGCUCUAGGGCAUCUUGGCAGGAGGGAGGGCGUCUGAGGGUACUGGUGCCUGCAGACUUCAAGCACGGAGAGACUUCUUGAAGCGGUGCUGCCUGGCCACUUGGAAAAAGGUGGAUUAAUUUGGGGAUAUCCGAGGAGCCCCAGAGGGCCAUUGUAAUUCAAGAUCUUCAGUAAACUUCUGCCGCGGAGAAAGAACCCGGCCAGUAUUGGGACCAUCGUGGUGACGCAGGAUUGGAGGAACAGGGGUUUCGGUUGACUGAGAAGUUCCUGUGAGAGAAACAGGCUCAAAUAGAGAGAAUAGAAAGAUGUCGUGAGGAGCCAGGAAACAAAAUUUUCCAGGGGUCAGGGAAUGAAUUCUAAUCAGAACAAGGAGCCAGCAAGAACUUCCAGCCUAGGAGGUACUUUUCAAAAGAAGCCUGGGACUCUAACCCAGCUUCUGAGAGUAUACUCAGAAUUGUUAAGAAUCAGGCAGGGCGCGGCGGCUCAUGCCUGUAAUCCCAGCACUUUGGGAGGCUGAGGCGGGUGGAUCACUUGAGGUCCGGAGUGUGAGAUCAGCCUGACUAACAAGAUGAAACCCCAUCUCUACUAAAAAAAUACAAAAUUAGCUGGGCGUCGUAGCGCAUGCCUGUAAUCCCAGCUACUUGGGAGGCUGAGGCAGGAGAAUUGCUUGAACCCAGGAGGUGGAGGUUGCAGUGAGCCAAGAUCGCGCCCUUGCACUCCAGCCUGGGCAACAAGAGUGAAACUCUGCCUCGGAGGGAAAAAAAAAAAAAAAGAAUUGAAAGAAUGAAAACCUGUCCUCAAUGUGCCUGAAUAAAUGCUUGUUCAGACACUGGAUGUGAAGUCCGAUUCUCCACUGGAUACCCAAACUGCAGGAGGUAGGUGGUUCCCAUCUGGACCCGAGUUGCCUACCAGACCAUUGUCAGAAACACAGCUGGACGUGAGUUAAAGUGGUGAAAAAACAGAUUUUAUUCAGUAACUACUGAAAGUAGGGAAGGAGCUGAGCUUAUUCCGAUUUCGGCAGAGGUGAUUUGGGUGUUUUAAAGAAAGAAUGAGGGAGACGGGAAUAAAGGAGCUCCGAAGUGUCGGGGAAGUGAAAAAGUGCAAAGGGGAGCUUCCGGAUAGCGAAGCACGUGGAGGUUCCUGGAGGGUGUCCUCCCAGAGAGGACGUGGAACCUUCCCGCUCCCACCGCGCACUUGCCCUGUGUAUCUCUUCCCUUUGGCUGUUCAUCUACAUACGUGGUAGUUUCCUUUAUAGUAAACUAAUAAACGGAAAUUUGCAGCAGCUGUGAAAAACUUCAAUUUUCUGAAUCCACUUUUGAUUUUUAGUGGCGAUUGCUUAAAUGCCUCAGUUUUAAGUAUCAUAACGAAAGGAAAGCAUACGAUUCCUAUAUUAAUGAAUCGGAAGUACCUUUUGCAGUUUUUGUUUUGCUUUUUCAGACAAGGUCUUAUUCUGUCAUCCAGGCUGGAGUGCAUUGGUGGGAACACAGCUCACUACCUACUCAGCCUCCUGAGCUCAAGCGAUCCUCCCACCUCAGCCUCUCAAGUGGCUAGGACCACAGGCACCCACGCACUACACCGCCUAACUAAUGUUUUGUUUUAUAUUAUAUUAUUUUAUUUUAUAGAGACAGAGGUCUCACCAUGUCGACCAGGCUAGUUUUGAACUCCUGGCCUCAAGCAAUCCUCCUCCCACCUCAGCCUCCCAAAGUGCUAAAAUGAUAGGUGUGAGCCACUGCACCCGGUGAUUUUGCAGUUUUUGGAAACCACAAGUUUGAUUUCGGUGUGAAUAUUUUGGAAGAAUCUAUGAAACAAAUGCACUUCAUCUGAUUUCUCAGUAAUGUUGAUGAUAGAUUUACUUCUGAACCUCUUGGACGUGUGUAUGUUAGAAGUUCUCCACCCAAUUGAUACGGAAUUAAAUAGCUGUGAAAUUACUGUAAGAAGAACCGAAGCAACGUUGGAAAUUUGGUAACUAAUGCCACGUUGGAAGCUAUUCAUGCCAAUGUAGCAUUGCUUCAUACAGGUACUUCCAGAUCUAAUUGAAUACAUCCAGUGGGAAAUUUC
rnacentral:lncRNA from 1 species